rnacentral:lncRNA from 7 species
ACUCUACAGGGAACGAGGACGACAUCUUGAGUAAACAUUAAGGAACGUUCUUGGAGCAUCGAGUAUCAGAGCUAGAUUGGACUGAGUCCCCAGAGAUGGCGGCAUCUCAGGACAUCCUUCAUUAGGGAGAGAUGGGGUAUGAAGCUCCUGAGAGGACCACAUCUUCUCCAACACGGGAGACUAGGUACUGGUCUCAACCGUGCCAAAAUCAUGUUCCUCUACAAUCUACAUGCAGCUGUGAAGCAAUAAGAUGGGGCUUGUGCGCAUCACAAGACUUCUGAACAGCCAUUUCCAGGGACGUCUCUUUGAUGCCAUCUGAAGAGAUUUCCUUGGGUGCUUGGAUGACCGAUGUAGUUGAAUCUAAUGGCAUCUCUUGAUUAAACGGGCCAGGAACACAAACAUUGCCAGCUUCCACAAAGACAGGGCUCGGGAAGAGGGCAGUAAUUUCAUCCUCUGCAAUUGGGGGCUUGAAUGAAGGGGAGGUGCCAUAACUGCCUCGAAUCCCACGAAGCACAACCUCAAUCAGCCAGUUCCUCAGAUGGAAGGAUGACGACGAAUGUGCUCGGCGCAACACGUCAGAGGUCGAGCGCGUCGUCCCAGAGGCAUCCAACAGAGGCCCAGUGUAAAAUUGUAGCAAAAAAUAUCAACAUGUAUAUAUAUGUAUGUAUAAUAUAAUAACAACUAAUUU